UACGAAGGGGACUAGCGUUGUUCGGAAUCACUGGGCGUAAAGCGCACGUAGGCGGAUGUGUCAGUCAGGGGUGAAAUCCCGGAGCUCAACUUCGGAACUGCCUUUGAUACAGCACGUCUUGAGUCCGAUAGAGGUGGGUGGAAUUCCUAGUGUAGAGGUGAAAUUCGUAGAUAUUAGGAAGAACACCGGUGGCGAAGGCGGCCCACUGGAUCGGUACUGACGCUGAGGUGCGAAAGCGUGGGGAGCAAACAGG
rnacentral:rRNA from 1 species